AAAAUAACAAGCUUGCACUUAACGAACUGUACGAGGUUAUAACCAAGCAAGAAAAAUAACAAGCUUGCACUUAACGAACUGUACGAGGUUAUAACCAAGCAAGAAAAAUAACAAGCUUGCACUUAACGAACUGUACGAGGUUAUAACCAAGCAAGAAAAAUAACAAGCUUGCACUUAACGAACUGUACGAGGUUAUAACCAAGCAAGAAAAAUAACAAGCUUGCACUUAACGAACUGUACGAGGUUAUAACCAAGCAAGAAAAAUAACAAGCUUGCACUUAACGAACUGUACGAGGUUAUAACCAAGCAAGAAAAAUAACAAGCUUGCACUUAACGAACUGUACGAGGUUAUAACCAAGCAAGAAAAAUAACAAGCUUGCACUUAACGAACUGUACGAGGUUAUAACCAAGCAAGAAAAAUAACAAGCUUGCACUUAACGAACUGUACGAGGUUAUAACCAAGCAAGAAAAAUAACAAGCUUGCACUUAACGAACUGUACGAGGUUAUAACCAAGCAAGAAAAAUAACAAGCUUGCACUUAACGAACUGUACGAGGUUAUAACCAAGCAAGAAAAAUAACAAGCUUGCACUUAACGAACUGUACGAGGUUAUAACCAAGCAAGAAAAAUAACAAGCUUGCACUUAACGAACUGUACGAGGUUAUAACCAAGCAAGAAAAAUAACAAGCUUGCACUUAACGAACUGUACGAGGUUAUAACCAAGCAAGAAAAAUAACAAGCUUGCACUUAACGAACUGUACGAGGUUAUAACCAAGCAAGAAAAAUAACAAGCUUGCACUUAACGAACUGUACGAGGUUAUAACCAAGCAAG